GAUCAUGGCUCAGGACGAACGCUGGCGGCGUGCCUAACACAUGCAAGUCGAACGGAGAUACAAGGGCUUGCCCUUGUAUCUUAGUGGCGGACGGGCGAGUAACGCGUGAGGAACCUGCCCCUUCAGUGGGGAAUAACGGCUGGAAACGGUCGCUAAUACCGCAUGACACAUUGGUACCGCAUGAUACUGAUGUCAAAGGAGCAAUCCGCUGAAGGAUGGCCUUGCGUCCGAUUAG
rnacentral:rRNA from 1 species